AUACGGAGGAUCCGAGCGUUAUCCGGAUUUAUUGGGUUUAAAGGGUGCGCAGGCGGCCAUUUAAGUCAGCGGUUAAAUCGUGGGGCUCAACCCCAUUCUGCCGUUGAUACUGGGUGGCUUGAUUGCGGUCGAGGUUGGCGGAAUUCGUUGUGUAGCGGUGAAAUGCAUAGAUAUGACGAAGAACACCGAUUGCGUAGGCAGCUGACCAGACCGCAAAUGACGCUCAUGCACGAAAGUGCGGGGAUCGAACAGGAUUAGAUACCCUGGUAGUCCGCACAGUAAACGAUGAAUACUUGUUUUCGGCGAUAUAAUGUCGGAGGCAAAGCGAAAGCGAUAAGUAUUCCACCUGGGGAGUACGCCGGCAACGGUGAGACUCAAAGGAAUUGACGUGG
rnacentral:rRNA from 1 species